UGGGGAAUUUUGGACAAUGGGGCGCAAGCCUGAUCCAGCCAUGCCGCGUGCAGGAUGAAGGCCUUCGGGUUGUAAACUGCUUUUGUACGGAACGAAAAGGUGCCUUCUAAUAAAGGGCGCUCAUGACGGUACCGUAAGAAUAAGCACCGGCUAACUACGUGCCAGCAGCCGCGGUAAUACGUAGGGUGCGAGCGUUAAUCGGAAUUACUGGGCGUAAAGCGUGCGCAGGCGGUUUUGUAAGACAGAGGUGAAAUCCCGGGCUCAACCUGGGAACUGCCUUUGUGACUGCAAAGCUGGAGUGCGGCAGAGGGGGGAUGGAAUUCCGCGUGUAGCAGUGAAAUGCGUAGAUAUGCGGAGGAACACCGAUGGCGAAGGCAAUCCCCUGGGGCCUGCACUGACGCUCAUGCACGAAAAGCGUGGGGGAGCAAAACAGGAUUAGAUACCCCUGGUAGUCCACG
rnacentral:rRNA from 1 species